UUUGUAGUGAACAGCACAUUCCAGGGCCCAGUUUAUGGCCGGGCCCCUCUCUGUCCGUAACAGCGGACAAAGGUUUGCUACAUUUUGAUUGGAUCUUGGUGGACUAACACAAACAAACUGUCCAACGCCAUCAGAUAAAGAUGUAAGGACAACAUCCAGACCUCUCUUAGAGGGCAAGAAGAAGACCUCUUGUACCAAGCCUGGGAAGGACAGGACUUCUCAUUGGUCCACAUGCAGUUUCUGCCCUUCACCCAUCUAGAGACUACUUCCUAAGGUUGGCCAGAGACUGCCAUAAAAAUUCCUCGGGACCUCAGCAGCAAUGGGUGAAACAAAGAGAGAUCACAAAGAUCCAUCCAAAGCCAUUCAAAACUAUGUUUGAAAACCUUAGAACUGAUGCAAACUACACAUCCAUUUCAUACUUAUUCACAGGAAUAAGUAUUCUCAGCUGUUUGUAGUGAAACAUCUGACACAAAUUCAGCUGUUAAUGUACAAUUGACAGUUCAAUCUUCUUCCAUCAUGUUUAGUCUCUAUUUGUUUAGAAUAUUGCCAAAGGUAUUCUGGUGGUGGUUUGGAAAGUGAGAAAUGCAUUGGUAAACUUUAAAGACACUGUAAAGACUUCCAACUUUGUGCUUUAUGCAAAUGAGUUCCACAGGGCAAAGAAGGGUGGGCCACACUGUGUGUGUCCCCUCUGAUGCCAGCAGCCAAUCACAGCACUCGAAUGGAGAAGCACCAAAUUGCAAUCUCCUCCUCAUCAGAAAGGGAUAAAGGUACCCUUUCAACAGACAUUCCUUGUUCUGAGUCUGCCCUUCAAAGGGGAAAGACAUAACAGAUAUACUGUUCUGGGUCUCAACUCUGUAAGGAGUGAGACAUUAACAGAUAUACCGUUCUGAGUCUGUCCUGCACGGGGAUAGACAUUGACAGAUACAUUCUCGUUCUGAGCCUCUGGUUCGUCCAGAGAGACAACAACAGAUCCCAUGAUCUGAGUCUACAGCUGGCGAGGCAGCAACAGAGACGACCACGUUCUGAGCCUCCAGCCUGUGAGGAAAGAGACAUUAACAAACACUACAUUCAGAGUUUCCGUCCAGCGAGACAGUAACGACAUCUGCAACAAGGUUAAGCUCAGGAGAGCAAACCUUCACUCCAAGGUACCUUCGUCUGCGUGUUCCAGAUUGUUAAGGACCUUCUGCACCUACACCAGGGCCUCAUCUGCAUGUUCCAGAUUUUAGGACCCUUUGGUGCUCCAGGAGAUCAGCAUCCCACAGAGCUUCGUGUUCAAGACUGUUGAAACAGAUUCUGGCUCCUCUCCCCACUGCAUUGUCACCCAGCACAACCAGUGGAAGACGUCACCGUCAUCGGACUCAACCACGUGGAAUAUAAAUCAGCUGACCACUUUACAUUAAUUCCAAAUGAAUGAAAGCCCCUGUUGAGAGUGUUCUCAUACUGCAACAGUAAAGACCUUGACUGGUGCCCUGAACUAGGAAAAGGAGGGAAGUGGUCACCUGAUGUACUCAUAACCACACCUUAAGAGACGUGUGAUCCAAAAAUUACAACGUCAGUGGUGACGUAUUCAUUUAUAUGAACUCACUCAGUCUGAGUCUCUGACUGUCUGUCCUGAUGCCACUCUAACUAUCAACUGUAAAAUCUCAUAUUCAGUUACUAGUUAUAGUACAGCCUGGAUUCGUCAGCCUGCAGGAAAAGCUCUGGAGUGGAUUGGAUUGAUUGGCUCUGGUGGAGGCUUAUACUACAAGGAUUCACUGAAA